rnacentral:rRNA from 1 species
CCAUUUAGUGGGGAAUAACUGUUGGAAACGACAGCUAAUACCGCAUAAUAUUGCUGGAUAAUUUCCAGUAAUGAAAGGAGCUUUCAAGCUCCGCUGAUUGAUGAGGAUGCGGCGCAUUAGCUAGUUGGUAGGGUAAUGGCCUACCAAGGCAAAGAUGCGUAGCCGAUCUGAGAGGAUGAACGGCCACAUUGGGACUGAGACACGGCCCAAACUUCUACGGAAGGCAGCAGUAGGGAAUUUUUCACAAUGGGCGAAAGCCUGAUGGAGCAAUGCCGCGUGACUGAUAAGGUCUUCGGAUUGUAAAGGUCUGUUGUAAGGGAAGAAAUGGUAAAACAGGAAAUGGUUUUAUCUAUGACGGUACCUUACCAGAAAGCCACGGCUAACUAUGUGCCAGCAGCCGCGGUAAUACAUAGGUGGCAAGCGUUAUCCGGAUUUAUUGGGCGUAAAGGGUGCGUANACGGUUUUGCAAGUCUGAGGNUAAAUUUAGGAGCUCAACUCCUAAUCGCCUUGNAAACUACNAGACUAGAGUAUANGAGAGGUUAGUGGAAUUCCNUGUGUAGCGGUGGNAUGUGUAGAUAUAUGGAGGAAC